rnacentral:rRNA from 1 species
GACGAACGCUGGCGGCGUGCUUAACACAUGCAAGUCGAGCGGAGCGGCGAAGGGGUGGGUAACGCGUGAGUAAUUGCCCCCCUCCCUGGGAUAACAGUUGGAAACGGCUGCUAAUACCGGAUAGUGGGGGAUGACUCGGGUCCUAUCAGCUUGUGGGUGGGGUAGUGGCUUACCAAGGCGACGACGGGACGCCGGCCUGAGAGGGGGACCGGCCACAUGGGGCUGAGAUACGGCCCAAACGCCUACGGGAGGCAGCAGUGGGGAAUAUUGCACAAUGGGGGAAACCCUGAUGCAGAAACGCCGCGUGCGGGAUGACGGCCUUCGGGUUGUAAACCGCUUUCAGCCAUGACGCGGUAGUGGCAGAAGAAGCACCGGCUAACUACGUGCCAGCAGCCGCGGUAAUUC